CAUAUGCUCACGUAGUAGGGAUGUCCCGAUCAGCAUUUUAGGCCUCCGAUCCUUAUCCGAUCUUUUAA